rnacentral:rRNA from 1 species
UACGUAGGGUGCGAGCGUUGUCCGGAAUUAUUGGGCGUAAAGAGCUCGUAGGCGGCCUGUCGCGUCGGUUGUGAAAGCCCGGGGCUUAACCCCGGGUCUGCAGUCGAUACGGGCAGGCUAGAGUUCGGUAGGGGAGAUCGGAAUUCCUGGUGUAGCGGUGAAAUGCGCAGAUAUCAGGAGGAACACCGGUGGCGAAGGCGGAUCUCUGGGCCGAUACUGACGCUGAGGGACGAAAGCUAGGGGAGCGAAAGGG